ACCUGGGUGGCUCAGCCGGUUAAGCAUCUGACUUCCACUCAGGUAAUGAUCUCGCAGUCUGUGGGUUCGAGCCCCGCGUCGGGCU
rnacentral:tRNA from 1 species